GAUGAACGCUGGCGGCGUGCCUAAUACAUGCAAGUCGAGCGAACAGACGAGGAGCUUGCUCCUCUGACGUUAGCGGCGGACGGGUGAGUAACACGUGGAUAACCUACCUAUAAGACUGGGAUAACUUCGGGAAACCGGAGCUAAUACCGGAUAAUAUAUUGAACCGCAUGGUUCAAUAGUGAAAGACGGUUUUGCUGUCACUUAUAGAUGGAUCCGCGCCGCAUUAGCUAGUUGGUAAGGUAACGGCUUACCAAGGCGACGAUGCGUAGCCGACCUGAGAGGGGGCGGGCACACAGGAGAACAGAGACAGGCACCGGACCACGGGGGGGGGAGGCAGGGGGGAUUCUUCCGCAAGGGGCAAAAGCCUGAGGGAGCAGCGCGGGGGGGGUAAGAAAGUUGUUGGGAUCGAAAACUUUGUUUAUUGGGAAAAAAAAAAUGGGAAAGAAAUUAUGCGCGUUUGGAGGGACCCUAAUAAAAAGACCACGACAAACUCGGUC
rnacentral:rRNA from 1 species